rnacentral:rRNA from 1 species
AACGUAGGACGCAAGCGUUAUCCGGAGUUACUGGGCGUAAAGGGCGGGCAGGCGGCUUCUCAAGUCUGAUGUGAAAGCGCCCAGCUAAACUGGGCGAGGCCAUUGGAAACUGGGGAGCUGGAGGGCAGCAGAGGCAGGUGGAAUCCGGGUGGAGUGGUGAAAUGCGUAGAGAUCCGGAGGACCCAGAGGCGAAGGCGGCCUGCUGGGCUGCA